AGAGAAAGAGAGACUGACUAUGUUCAGCCUCUUUAUCCAUUCAUGAAAAUGUAUAGCUUUAUAAUAUACAGCAGUAUGGAAUAUACUUUAUAUUACGAUCAAUAUUGAAUUGCACCUUCAAUCAUUAGACCAAGUGGGCUGUUCGUAAGGUUUCGUAUGUGCCACCAAUACGUGAACCCUUCACCAGAUUGUUAAUAAGAAACCCAUAUCAUCUGAUAAGAACUGAUAAUGGCAGUGGCCGUGCAUAAUUUCCAUGUUAUUGAACAUCGUUCAAUGAAGGUGACCAAAAGGCAAAGACGCAUGCGCAAACCCAGCGAGAGAGAAAUAACUCUACAGCCUUCCACACUUAAUAAAAACGGAGGAGGAUGUUGUCUGUGCUUUCAGACAGGGAGACGAGAACGCAUGCGCGAACGACAACCAAAAGACUACAUUUCCCAUCAUACAUGGAAGGGAAGAAGACGGACUUCUAACUUCCGGUUCCAGCUCCAUGAUGACGCGCAAAUUAAUGACUGAAAGACUACAUUUCCCAGGAUGCUUAGCGGCGGAAGAUCGAGAUGUUGAAUUUCCCGGAAUUGGAGAGAACAUUAAACAUUAGAAGUUAAAUUAAUAGCAUUGUAUACACAUACAUCAUUUUCUCUAUGGGGAAUUCCGUUCAGAUUAUUUAGUAAAAGACUGCACAUUAGAUAAGGAGGAAUGAUACUCAUGGGGAACUACGUUACCCAUGAUUCCUAGCGCCAUUAUGUUAGAGAUUAGGAAAGACAGAUUCUCUUUCCUACCACAAUACGUUAUAGUAAUAUGGCACAUUCUUUUUGAAAUAAUGUAGACCUUAUUGGUCUUGUCUUUUUAUUAAUAAUGCAAUUUUUAAUGUAAGUGUAAAUUAUAAUUGAUGAGGUCAUUUCCGGGGUUGGACUUCCGGUUAGGAGAUGAUUGGCUACAGGCACCAUAAAUAGCUGGCUUCUCACACAGAAGGUCAUGUCUUGAAAAAGGUCCAGGAGACCGAAACGCGUCGACAGAUCCCUGUGUGAGUAGCCAAUUUUUUAACCCAAAAUUGUUUUUUUUUUAUUGAACUCAGCAUUACAUUUUUAUUGAACUUUUCGUUGUUAUUUUUUGGAUAUAUUCCAUUUUUCGU